rnacentral:rRNA from 1 species
AAUUCCGGUUGAUCCUGCCGGAGGCCAUUGCUAUCGGAGUCCGAUUUAGCCAUGCUAGUUGCACGAGUUCAGACUCGUAGCAUAUAGCUCAGUAACACGUGGCCAAACUACCCUACAGACCGCGAUAACCUCGGGAAACUGAGGCCAAUAGCGGAUAUAACUCUUAUGCUGGAGUGCCGAGAGUUAGAAACGUUCCGGCGCUGUAGGAUGUGGCUGCGGCCGAUUAGGUAGAUGGUGGGGUAACGGCCCACCAUGCCGAUAAUCGGUACAGGUUGUGAGAGCCAGAGCCUGGAGACGGUAUCUGAGACAAGAUACCGGGCCCUACGGGGCGCAGCAGGCGCGAAACCUUUACACUGCACGACAGUGCGAUAGGGGGACUCCGAGUGUGAGGGCAUAUAGCCCUCGCUUUUCUGUACCGUAAGGUGGUACAGGAACAAGGACUGGGCAAGACCGGUGCCAGCCGCCGCGGUAAUACCGGCAGUCCAAGUGAUGGCCGAUAUUAUUGGGCCUAAAGCGUCCGUAGCU